rnacentral:misc_RNA from 1 species
AACGCACAUUGCGCCCCUUGGUAUUCCGAGGGGCACGCCUGUUCGAGCGUCAUUGCAACCAUCACGCACCGCGUGGCGUUGGGGGCUCCCGUCGACCGCCUGGCGAUCGACCCCCCCCGCAAUCCGUUGGCGGCGCCCUCGUUCCGUGUCGUGGCACACACGCAACGAUUCCGGCGAGCGGCGCCCGCCCACACACUCUCUCCAAGUUUGACCUCGGAUCAGGUGGGAAUACCCGCUGAACUUAA